UACGGAAGGCAGCAGUGGGGAAUAUUGCACAAUGGGCGCAAGCCUGAUGCAGCCAUGCCGCGUGUAUGAAAAAGGCCUUCGGGUUGUAAAGUACUUUCAGUCGUGAGGAAGGUGUUAAGGUUAAUAACCUUAGCAAUUGACGUUAGCGACAGAAGAAGCACCGGCUAACUCCGUGCCAGCAGCCGCGGUAAUACGGAGGGUGCGAGCGUUAAUCGGAAUUACUGGGCGUAAAGGGCACGCAGGCGGUUAAUUAAGUUGGAUGUGAAAUCCCCGGGCUUAACCUGGGAAUGGCAUUCAAGACUGGUUAGCUAGAGUCUUGUAGAGGGGGUAGAAUUCCAUGUGUAGCGGUGAAAUGCGUAGAGAUGUGGAGGAAUACCGGUGGCGAAGGCGGGCCCCUGGACAAAGGACUGACGCUCAUGUGCGAAAGCGUGGGGAGCAAACGAGGGAUUAGAUACC
rnacentral:rRNA from 1 species